rnacentral:rRNA from 1 species
GAUGAACGCUGGCGGCGUGCUUAACACAUGCAAGUCGAACGGUGAAGGCGGAGCUUGCUCUGCUGGAUCAGUGGCGAACGGGUGAGUAACACGUGAGCAAUCUGCCCCUGACUCUGGGAUAAGCGCUGGAAACGGCGUCUAAUACUGGAUACGAGCUGCGAAGGCAUCUUCAGCAGCUGGAAAGAAUUUCGGUCAGGGAUGAGCUCGCGGCCUAUCAGCUUGUUGGUGAGGUAAUGGCUCACCAAGGCGUCGACGGGUAGCCGGCCUGAGAGGGUGACCGGCCACACUGGGACUGAGACACGGCCCAGACUCCUACGGGAGGCAGCAGUGGGGAAUAUUGCACAAUGGGCGAAAGCCUGAUGCAGCAACGCCGCGUGAGGGACGACGGCCUUCGGGUUGUAAACCUCUUUUAGCAGGGAAGAAGCGAAAGUGACGGUACCUGCGGAAAAAGCGCCGGCUAACUACGU